rnacentral:rRNA from 1 species
AAGUCGAGCGAGCUUGCCUAGAUGAAUUUGGUGCUUGCACCAGAUGAAACUAGAUACAAGCGAGCGGCGGACGGGUGAGUAACACGUGGGUAAACCUGCCCCAAGAGACUGGGGAUAACACCUGGAAACAGAUGCUAAUACCGGAUAACAACACUAGACGCAUGUCUAGAGUUUAAAAGAUGGUUCUGCUAUCACUCUUGGGAUGGACCUGCGGUGCAUUAGCUAGUUGGUAAGGUAACGGCUUACCAAGGCAAUGAUGCAUAGCCGAGUUGAGAGACUGAUCGGCCACAUUGGGACUGAGACACGGCCCAAACUCCUACGGGAGGCAGCAGUAGGGAAAUCUUCCACAAUGGACGCAAGUCUGAUGGAGCAACGCCGCGUGAGUGAAGAAGGGUUUCGGCUCGUAAAGCUCUGUUGGUAGUGAAGAAAGAUAGAGGUAGUAACUGGCCUUUAUUUGACGGUAAUUACUUAGAAAGUCACGGCUAACUACGUGCCCAGCAGCGCGGGUAAUC